CCUACGGGAGGCAGCAGUGAGGAAUAUUGGGCAAUGGAGGCAACUCUGACCCAGCCAUGCCGCGUGCAGGAAGACUGCCCUAUGGGUUGUAAACUGCUUUUAUACAGGAAGAAACACUGCUACGUGUAGCAGCUUGACGGUACUGUAAGAAUAAGGACCGGCUAACUCCGUGCCAGCAGCCGCGGUAAUA
rnacentral:rRNA from 1 species